rnacentral:piRNA from 1 species
UCAAUUUUCCGGUGGCGAUUC